rnacentral:rRNA from 1 species
AUUGAACGCUGGCGGCAGGCCUAACACAUGCAAGUCGAGAGAGCGGCGGACAGGUGAGUAAUGUAUGGGGACUGCCCGAUAGAGGGGGAGAACUACAGGAAAAGGUAGCUAAUACCGCAUACAAUCUGAUCAAACAUAUGGGAUGAGCUAGUAGGUGAGGGAAUGGCUCACCUAGGAGACGAGCCCUAGCUGGUCUGAGAGGAUGAUCAGCCACACUGGGACUGAGACACGGCCCAGACUCCUACGGAGGCAGCAGUGGGUAAUAUUGCACAAUGGGCGCAAGCCUGAUGCAGCCAUGCGGCGUGUAUGAAGAAGGCCCUAGGGUUGUAAAGUACUUUCAGUCGGGAGGCGUUACCGACAGAAGAAGCACCGGCUAACUCCGUGCCAGCAGCCGCGGUAAUUC